AAGAUCUUCAUGUAACUGGCUGAAAAAUGGUUCCGCAAGAUGACAACACCAACUCUAACACUGUUAAAAUGGAGACUAUCUUCACUUUGACAUGAUGUGUGGAGUUUGUUAGCACUUUUUGUUGGUUUUUUUACAGUUAUUGUGGAAGGUUACAAAUGGUGUGGGUUUUUGUCAUGAAUCGAAUGAGCUCCCAGAGCAGUUCAUCCACUCAGCGUAGGCGAAUGGCUCUAGGAAUUGUCAUUCUUCUCCUCGUUGACGUGAUAUGGGUUGCCUCUUCAGAACUCACUUCUUAUGUUUUUACAAAGUACAACAAACCUUUUUUCAGUACAUUUGCAAAAACAUCCAUGUUUGUUCUAUACCUCUUGGGAUUUAUUGUUUGGAAACCAUGGAGGCAACAGUGUACUCGUGGGUUUCGUGGAAGGCAUGCAGCUUUUUUUGCAGAUGCUGAAGGUUAUUUUGCUGCUUGUACGACAGAUAACACUGUAAACAGUUCUCUGGUAAGUGCCUUAAUUUGUGAAGGUCAAUGCUUUACAGUAACAUGAUGCCA